AGUGAACGCUGGCGGUAGGCCUAACACAUGCAAGUCGAACGGCAGCACAGUAAGAGCUUGCUCUUACGGGUGGCGAGUGGCGGACGGGUGAGGAAUACAUCGGAAUCUACUUUUUCGUGGGGGAUAACGUAGGGAAACUUACGCUAAUACCGCAUACGACCUACGGGUGAAAGCAGGGGAUCUUCGGACCUUGCGCGAUUGAAUGAGCCGAUGUCGGAUUAGCUAGUUGGCGGGGUAAAGGCCCACCAAGGCGACGAUCCGUAGCUGGUCUGAGAGGAUGAUCAGCCACACUGGAACUGAGACACGGUCCAGGCUCCUACGGGAGGCAGCAGUGGGGAAUAUUGGACAAUAGGCGCAAGCCUGAUCCAGCCAUACCGCGUGGGUGAAGAAGGCCUUCGGGUUGUAAAGCCCUUUUGUUGGGAAAGAAAAGCAGCAGGUUAAUACCCCGCUGUUCUGACGGUACCCAAAGAAUAAGCACCGGCUAACUUCGUG
rnacentral:rRNA from 1 species